GUUCCCUUCAGCAGCACAUAUUGAAAAAUUGAAACCAUACAGAAAAGAUUAGCGUGGCCCACAUGCAGGGAUGACACCCAAAUUCAUGAAGCAUGCCAUAUUUUA